UACAGAGGUCUCAAGCGUUGUUCGGAUUCAUUGGGCGUAAAGGGUGCGUAGGUGGCUUGUUAAGUUGAAGGUGAAAUCUCGGGGCUCAACUCCGAAACUGCCUUCAAUACUGCUUCGCUCGAGUACUGGAGAGGAGGCUGGAAUUUACGGUGUAGCAGUGAAAUGCGUAGAUAUCGUAAGGAAGGCCGGUGGCGAAAGCGAGCCUCUGGACAGUUACUGACGCUGAUGCACGAAGGCCAGGGGGAGCAAACGGG
rnacentral:rRNA from 1 species